rnacentral:rRNA from 1 species
GUAGGGAAUCUUCCACAAUGGACGAAAGUCUGAUGGAGCAACGCCGCGUGAGUGAAGAAGGGUCUCGGCUCGUAAAACUCUGUUGUUAAAGAAGAACAUAUCUGAGAGUAACUGUUCAGGUAUUGACGGUAUUUAACCAGAAAGCCACGGCUAACUACGUGCCAC